UUGCUUCUUCAAAUGUUCCCUUGUCCUGGGAACAGGGAUGCCCUUCAGUGGGCCCUGAACUUGCAUAAAUGGGAAACAGUUCUCUCAAGGAGAGGGGGUUGCAUUUGACCUGGUGUUGUUUUUCAGCCAAGCAUUAUUAUUUUUGGCCUGCUGGCUGUUUUCUUCUCCAUCUUGGAGAAUUGCAAUAUGAAUGCAGUGGAGUGAGUGGAGGAGCUAUUUCAGGGAACUCAUUGGCCAGAUCACCUGUCCUACGGAAGGCUAAAUGGGAUCCUUUCUUUUCUGUGAAGUUUCUUCUGUAAAUUGGCUUGUUCAGGGCACCCCUAGCCCCCGUCACUCAGUGUGUGUGUAUAAUUCUGUGUGAGGGAAGACCACCUAUAAUUCUGUUUUAGAAGGGACAUGUUUGUAGCUCCCAUCACUCCUUUUCUGCUGAAGAGACUUGUCCUUGGUGGUACCUAUUAGUGUGAAUUGGCAAACCCAUACAGGUACUUUUGCUCAGAAGACGUGAGGCUUUGUAAUUCAUUUUCAGGUCCGGGUCUCUGGGAUUGUGGGGUUACCUGGCAUCAGUCAGCACGAGGGAUGCAGGUCAUCAGUGACUGUCAUUGUCACUCUCUCUGUGUCACACUCCCUGUGUUG